rnacentral:rRNA from 1 species
GACGAACGCUGGCGGCGUGCUUAACACAUGCAAGUCGAACGAAGUGGCGAACGGGUGAGUAACGCGUAAUCAACCUGCCCUUCAAAGGGGGAUAACAGUUGGAAACGACUGCUAAUCCCGCAUACGGAAGAGGGGGAUGGAGUGUGAUUAGCUCGUUGGAGGGGUGACGGCCCACCAAGGCGAUGAUCAGUAGCCGGUCGGCGAGGAUGAACGGGCACAUUGGUACCGGAAAAAGGCCCAGGCUCCUUCGGGAGGCAGCAGUGGGGAAGCUUCCGAAAUGGACGAAAGUCUGACGGAGGCACGCCGCGGGAGUGAUGACGGCCUUUGGGUUGUAAAGCUAUGUUAAUCGGGACGCGGUACCGGAAUAGAAAGCCACGGCUAACUACGUGCCAGCAGCCGCGGUAAUAC